AGGAGCGGGACAGAGAAGGAACGUAUCCUCUAUUCCAGCUGGUCUCUCAUCUGCAGAAAAAUUCAAUCUUUGAAGCUGCAGAGAACCUGGUCAAUGUUUCUGGCAUGGAGAAAGCCGUUUCCUCUCACCACCACCUGAAAGCUCUCUGUAAGACAAACAAGUAGAUGCACAUGCGCAGCAAUAGAUGAAAUACACAAUAAGGAAUCGCCUGACCCUCAUUCUUCAUUUACCAAGAGGACGACUUUCUGAUUGUUGAACAUUGUGGACAAAAGCCUGACUUUUUAUGAACAAUUUGGUA